rnacentral:rRNA from 1 species
GCCUGCCCAGUGACACUGUUCAACGGCCGCGGUAUCCUAACCGUGCGAAGGUAGCGUAAUCACUUGUUCUUUAAUUGAGGACUAGUAUGAAUGGCUUCACGAAGACUACACUGUCUCCUUUUUCUAAUCAAUGAAACUAAUCUCCCCGUGAAGAAGCGGGGAUGCACCUAUAAGACGAGAAGACCCUAUGGAGCUUUAAACAACAGAAACACUUGCUUUCAACUUUAUCAUCUUCAGAGAACUAAACAUACUCCAAGCACUUUAAUUUCUAGUUUUAGGUUGGGGUGACCACGGAGUAAAAACUAACCUCCACGCUGAAAGAAUCCUCCAUUCUUAAUUUAAAGUCACAACUUUAAACAUCAACACAUUGACUUCCAUUGACCCAAUUACUUGAUCAACGAACCAAGUUACCCUAGGGAUAACAGCGCAAUCUACUUCGAGAGCUCUUAUCGACAAGUAGGUUUACGACCUCGAUGUUGGAUCAGGGUAUCCUAGUGGUGCAGCCGCUACUAAUGGUUCGUUUGUUCAACGAUUAAAACCCUACGUGA